rnacentral:rRNA from 1 species
GAUCAUGGCUCAGGACGAACGCUGGCGGCGCGCCUAACACAUGCAAGUCGAACGGAGUCAAGAGGAGCUUGCUUUUCUUGACUUAGUGGCGAACGGGUGAGUAACGCGUGAGUAACCUGCCCUGGAGUGGGGGGACAACAGUUGGAAACGACUGCUAAUACCGCAUAAGCCCACGGCCCGGCAUCGGGCUGCGGGAAAGGAUUUAUUCGCUUCAGGAUGGACUCGCGUCCAAUUAGCUAGUUGGUGAGG